CCUACGGGUGGCUGCAGUGGGGAAUAUUGCACAAUGGGGGAAACCCUGAUGCAGCGACGCCGCGUGAGUGAAGAAGUAUUUCGGUACGUAAAGCUCUAUCAGCAGGGAAGAAAAUGACGGUACCUGACUAAGAAGCCCCGGCUAACUACGUGCCAGCAGCCGCGGUAAUACGGAGGGGGCAAGCGUUAUCCGGAUUUACUGGGUGUAAAGGGAGCGUAGACGGCAGCGCAAGUCUGAAGUGAAAUCCCAUGGCUUAACCAGGGAACUGCUUUGGAAACUGUGCAGCUGGAGUGCAGGAGAGGGAAGUGGAAUUCCUAGUGUAGCGGUGAAAUGCGUAGAUAUUAGGAGGAAUACCGGUGGCGAAGGCGGCUUACUGGACGGUAACUGACGUUGAGGUGCGAAAGCGUGGGGAGCAAACAGGAUUAGAUACCCUUGUAGUC
rnacentral:rRNA from 1 species